GAAAACCGUGGAGGUAUAUUACAGAAACUGCUAAUUUCCAUAUCCAGAGCCAAUAACU
rnacentral:tRNA from 1 species